rnacentral:rRNA from 1 species
UACAGAGGGUGCGAGCGUUAAUCGGAAUUACUGGGCGUAAAGCGUGCGUAGACGGUUAUUUAAGUCGGAUGUGAAAGCCCCGGGCUCAACCUGGGAAUUGCAUUCGAGACUGAAUAGCUAGGGUGCGGUAGAGGGAAGCGGAAUUUCCGGUGUAGCGGUGAAAUGCGUAGAUAUCGGAAGGAACAUCAGUGGCGAAAGCGGCUUCCUGGACCAGCACCGACGUCAGGCACGAAAGCGUGGGAGC